UACAGAGGGUGCGAGCGUUAAUCGGAAUUACUGGGCGUAAAAGCGCGCGUAGGCGGCUUCGCAAGUCGGGUGUGAAAUCCCCAAGCUCAACUUGGGAACUGCAUUCGAGACUGCGUUGCUAGAGUAUGGGAGAGGGAUGCGGAAUUCCAGGUGUAGCGGUGAAAUGCGUAGAUAUCUGGAGGAACACCGGUGGCGAAGGCGGCAUCCUGGACCGACACUGACGCUGAGGAGCGAAAGCCAGGGGGAGCAAACGGGG
rnacentral:rRNA from 1 species